CGGCCGCAGCUUUGAGUANUUAGACAGGCAGGCAGGCCAAGGUAGGCCUGGGCCAGCUGAGGAGCAGAUGGCUGCAGGAGCAGCAGCUGGGGCCCAUCCAUAGGCAUGUCUCUAGCCUGCCUCUGAGCUCUGGAUAAAACUUCUAAGGGUCACAGAACAAGAAGCUCUGUGCUGUGUGAUUGAUUGAUUGAUUUAGAAAUGGACAGAUUUUUUUUUAAAGCAACUAAUGC
rnacentral:lncRNA from 1 species